AAGAAACAGAGAGCAAAACAAAACAGAGAAGGGAGAAAGAAAGAAACAGAGAGCAAAACGAAACAGAGAAGGAAGGAAGGAAAGAAAGAAAGAAAAAGAAAAAGAGAAAUUUGGGGUUUUAAGGUUCAGAGUUAAUUUGGUAAGUCAAUUUAAUCCCUUUUCUCUUAGUUUUGAAGUUUUUGGAAUCCUAGAGAUAAAUACUACUUGAUUUAUGUUGAUAUUUUGAAAGUUAGUAGAUUAUUAGAUGAUGUUCAUGUUGAAUAAAUUGAAGUGUUAGGGGGUUAAAUUGAUUGAAUUUCAAGUUAGAAGUUAGUAAAGGAUUUAAUUGUAAAAUAAAGUGUAAGUUUUGAAUAGUAGGGACUAAAUUGAGAGAAUUUCGAAAUUAGGGAUUUAUGGUGAAAUUGAAGAGUUAAAAUGAGUUUAUAGUAAGAAUUAAGAGAGAAUAUAGAGUUAGAUUGGGAAAAAUAAAAUUAGUAUUGAUAAGGGAUUAAAUUAGAAUUUGGGUAAAGUUUAGGUAUAAAAGAAAAUAUUUUGAUGAAACUGAGUAUUAAUGAUUUUUAAUUGUUUAAUUACGUAGCUAAUGUCGUGUACGAGUCAUUGUCCGAGAAAGGAAAGGAGAAGGUGGACAAGGAUUGACUCAGGAGAAAUUUCGGUUAGUAUUACUAUAAUUCGAAUUUAAUUAUUAAUUGUUAAAUUUUAAAUUAAUAUACAUGAUAAGCAAAUUGAGGUAAGCAUCACGACUGAAUUGAAUGAUAAAUACGUAUUGGUAUUGAAUUUAUUAAUAGUAAUUGUUGAAUUUUGAAUAAUAUGUUUAGUAUUAAAAAAAAUAGAUGAAUAUUGAUAUUGAAUUGUACAUGAAUUCGAUUGGAAAAUGAAUUUAAAUAUAUAUAUGAAUGGAAUAAAGUGAAUUAAUUGUGAAUAGUGUGAUAUAUGUGAAUGUGAAUAGUAGUAAUUGUAAUGACGGAGAAUGAUAAUCCUUUUUGAAAUAAUUUGUAAAGUAUUAAUAAUGAGUCAGAUUAUGCCAGUAGAUGCCCAAGUAGAUGGAAUUUAGAACUACCAGGAUAUUAGUGGCAUGCCAUUAAGGAACUUAUUAAGGAACUUUAGCGCGCUCUCUGAUAUUAGCACGUUGGUGCUCUUUGAUAUCAGCACGUUGGUACUCUCUGAUUAUUAGCACGUUGGUGCUCUCUGAUAUUUAGCACGGCAGUGCUCUCUGUUUAGCACAUUUGUGCUCUCUGUAUUUGUUCCGUAUAUCCGGGGUGUUCUGUAAAAUCUACUUUGGGCUAAGAUUAUAAGCUGUGGACAAAAGUGAAUCAUUAAUGUGUUAAGGUAAGUCUUAUAAAGUUUAUAUGUACCGUUUUAGGCAUAAUGUGCCGUAUUGGUGUGUUUUGGUUGGAUCGGUGUAUCCGCCAAGAUCUGAGUCAAGUUAAUAGGGGUAAAUGAAUAAUUUUGAUAAUAUAAAUUUUUAUUGAAUGAUCUUGAAUAUGAAUUGAAAUAGCUAUUGUUAAGAAGUGAGAAGUGAAAAUAAAAUAAUUUGAAAGAGUGAAAUAAUAUGUGAAUUUAACUGAAUACAAGUUAUUGAAAUUUAGUUAUGGAUUUAAUGAAUAAAUUGAGUGUUAAAAGAUUUACAAUACAUAUUGAUUAUAAAUAGAAAUGAUAAUGAAUGAGUUGAUAAAUUGAUUGAAUUUGUAUGAAUUGGAAUGAAUUAUUAGAAUGAGAUGUCGAAAAAUCCAAUAGAAUUGAGAUAGUGAAAUAAGGUAUGAAUACAAUUAAAUACAAGAAUUGAAAUAUUGCUUAUUGUUAUUAAUGAUCAAGUUGAGUUAAAGUAUGAGAUAAUUAAUGAAUAAUUGUAGACAUAAAUUAAAUGUAUAUAAAUUAUCAAUUAAUAUUAUUAAUUUGNNNNNNNNNNNNNNNNNNNNNNNNNNNNNNNNNNNNNNNNNNNNNNNNNNNNNNNNNNNNNNNNNNNNNNNNNNNNNNNNNNNNNNNNNNNNNNNNNNNNNNNNNNNNNNNNNNNNNNNNNNNNNNNNNNNNNNNNNNNNNNNNNNNNNNNNNNNNNNNNNNNNNNNNNNNNNNNNNNNNNNNNNNNNNNNNNNNNNNNUUUGAAUGUUGUAUCUAUGAUAUUGCUAAAGAAAAGAGGUGUGAGUAUGUGAUAAUGUUUGGCUUUAAAAAUGGUUAAGUAUGAAAAUCAAGAAAGAGUAAAUUUUGCAAAGAAACAGAAUUCAGGCAGCAACAGUGACGUAACUUUGAAAAAUCACCUAGGAUAGUAUAAAAUGAAUUAGAGGGUGAAUGAUAUAUGAAAUGAAAGAUUAUUGAGUCUAUUUUUAUAGAAAAAUAACGGUUUAGCAAAAAGAAAUUUAUAUUUUAAGAUAUGUGAAUUUUAGUGAGAAAUGGUCAGAUCUAUUUCUGGAGUCCCCUGUUCCGAGUUUAGAAAAUCACUAAAAAUGGUAUAAAAAUAUUUAUGAGUUGUAGUUUAUAUGUGUAGAAUCCUUAUUGAGUCUAUUUUCUGUAGAAAUAAGUGGUAAUAUCAUAUGAAAAUCCUAUAAUGAGAAAAUUUAUUUUUAGUACCAAGGGGUCAGGACAGUCGAGUGAAGAAACAGGGGAGAAUUUAACUAAUAAACUGUACUAAUUGGUCAAACCAAGAAUUCUGAAAAUUUUAUGGUAUAAAGAUAUAUGAGUCUAGUUUCAGGAAAAAUUUACGAAAUUAAAUUUGGAGUUCCGUAGCUCGAGUUAUAAUCAAUUUAGUAACUGCUGCGCGAUUGGACAGAUUACUGUAAUGCCUCGUACUCGAUUCCGGAAACGGUCUCGGGUAAGGGGUGUUACACUAAGUGUGCGAAACCGAGAUCAAUUUGGUUAAAUGAGAGAGAGCACUAAUUGUGCAACUUUAUUAUGGCCUCGAUAAAUUAUUUAGCACAAAUUGUACUGAUUCAAUGAAUGAUAAAUGUGACAUAUAUGUAUAUGUUAGUAUAAGUACGUAAUAGUUAAUUAAUAUAUGCUAUCAAAGUUAGUUGGUUAUGUCAAUUUUGAUACAAAUUAUUUGAUGCAAAUGGAAGUAUGUGUGUGUGAAAAGCUUAUAUUCGGCCAAAGGGGUAAGUAUAUGUGAAGUCAUAAUUAUGUUUUAUAUGCAUUUGUAUAUGAAUGAGUACAUUCGGUAAAGAGUGGGUAUAUGAUUUGAAGAUGAAAAAUAACUAUGUUAUUAUUUAAAGGUAUAUUCGGACAAGCUGAAAUUGGUUCAUAGUUACAUAUUUGAUAUUUAAGUUUUGCAAGCUCGAAUGUGUAUAUAUAUGAAUAUGAUUGCAUUAUUCGAUUUUGUUAUUGAAUUAUUAACGUCAUUGAAUUGUUUAAUUGCUUAUGACUUACUAAGCUGUGAUAGCUUAUUGUGUAUGUGUGUUUCCUUCGGUUUUAUAGAUUUUAGAAGCUAGUUACGGGCUCGGGGAUCGUCAGCGUAGUCAAUCACACUAUCGUCCGUCCAUCAGUACCUAUAAAAGUUAAAUUUAAAAUAUAUGGCAUGUAUAGGCUAUACUCCCCUUUUGAAUAUAUUUUGAAUAAAGUGUAUAUAUAUAAUAGGCCAUGCGAAAAUGGCUUGUUUAUUUUGACAUGAAUGGUUUCAUGCUUUGAUUAAAUAUUAUGGUUGAUGAUUUGGCUAUGUUUCGUAAAUGGUUGAGACUAAUAUAAGUGAUGUUAUGCUUUGGAAGAUUUUGAAUUUUGAUAAUUAUACAAAUGCUUAUAGCAUAUUCGGCCCAAUGUUUAUAAUUGCUUGUAUUUAUAAGGGUUUAUAUAGGUACAUAUGUUAAAAUAUAAUGAUUACAUGUAAAAUAGGUAAAAUAUGUGAGUUUUAUAUACACAUUUGUGUCAGUGUUGUUUGUAAUUGAGUUGUUAGUCGAGUAGGCGAAAUGAGGUAUGACCAAAAGUGGUGUUUGAAAUAUUCUGCAUAAUUUUUUAUUAUGAGUUAUGUGUUUACGAAUAUGUUCGAUGCAUGAUAUGAAAUGACUCGUAAUAAGUUGAUAUUACCUUUUUUAUUUAAAACUUGGUUGGUUUAGUAGGUUGAACAUGUGUACAUCUAUGAUUAUUCGAAUUUGAAUUUGGUUCAGUAAUACCUUGUAACCCUAUUCUGGCGACGGUUACGGGUUAGGGGUGUUACACUCAAAUUCUAAAUGCUUUAUGGCUAUGGGGCAAGCUUUAGGCCCUUAUACCUUAUAAUGAGCUCACUUAUUCAAGUGACACUUUCCGCUAAGGUAGCCAAUAAUAGUGAGAAACAACUCCAAGGGUUAUUGGAAGACUUUGGUGAUGGUUUUCAAGUGCCAAAAGGUUUACCACUACCUCGGUUGCAAGACCAUAGAAUUCAUUUGAAACAUGAAUGAGUUGUAGUUAAAAUUUGACCCUACAAAUAUCCUACCAUUCAAAAGGGAGAGAUGGAGAAAUUGAUUCAAGAGAUGCUUCAAGCUAGGAUAAUCAGGGAUAACAAUAGCUUUUUUGCUUCCCUUAUAGUGAUGAUAAAAAAAAAAGAUGGAAGCUGAAGGUUGUAUGUUGAUUACAUACAACUAAAUCAACAUAUAAUCAAGGAUAAGUUUCCCAUUCCCAUAGUUGAGGAGUUGCUGGAUGAAUUGAGGGAAACUCGAGUGUUUUCUAAACUGGAUUUGAGGUCUGGAUAUAAUGAAAUCUGAAUAUGAAAACCUGAUGUACAUAAAAUAACAUUCAGGACACAUGAGAGGCAUUAUGAGUUCCUAGUGAUGCCCUUUGUCCUCACUAAUGCUCCCUUCAGUUUUCAGGCUCUUAUGAAUUCAAUGUUCAAACCAUUGUUGAGGAAGUUUGUGCUUGUAUUCUUUGAUGACAUAAUGGUCUAUUCAAAGUCAUGGUUCAAACAUUUACAACAUUUGAGAACAAUUCUUCUCAUCUUAAGGGAUCAACAACUAUUUGCAAAAAAGAAUAAAUAUUGUUUUAGUACUUCUCAAAUUGAGUACCUUGAACAUGUGCUACCUGAGGGGACAGUAUUCAUGGAUAGAUCCAAGAUUGAAUGUAUUUCUUCAUGGCCCAUUCCUCAAUCACUAAAAUAAUUAAGAAGCUUUUUUGGACUAUCUGGCUACUAUAGGAGAUCCAUUAGAAACUAUGGAUUGUUAGCCAAGCCCCUUACAGAUGGGUAGCUAUCACACCAUUUCAGCAACAAUGGGUAGUUAAAAUGUUAGGUUAUGACUUUGAGGUCUCUUAUAGGAAAUGAAUCAACAAAAGGGUGGUUGAUGCUCUCUCUAGACAACCUCAGCUAGAGCAAGGUCAAUUCUUUCAAUUAUCAGCUAGUUUUGUUAUUUCCAGUCUCUUGGAGCAGGUGAAACAAUCAUAUGGAUUAGAUGAUAAGUUGAAAGGGAUCAUACAAGGUGUCAAAAAGCAUAGUCAUCAAGACCAAAAGUAUUCUUGGGAUGGAAGAUUUUUGCAAAAUGAAGGGAAAAUUGUGGUGGGAAAGAACAUGAAUUUGCGAAGGGAACUGUUUCACCAUUUUUAUACUAGUGUAAUGGGGGGUCACUCAGGUAUUCAUGCCACUAGGAAACAUUUAGUUAGUUUGUUAUAUUAGAAGGGUCUAACAACUGAUGUCAAACACUAGAUUAGAGAGUGCUUGGUCUGUCAGAGAUGUAAGAGUGAGACAUUAGCAUCUCCAGGACUUUUGCAGCCUUUACCUCUGCCUGAUCGAGGCUGGUCUAUUAUUAGUUUAGAUUUCAUUGAAGGAUUGCCGAACUCAAGAAGGAAGAAUUCCAUUUUGGUUGUGGUGGACCAUUUAACUAAAUAUGGUAAUUUUUUGGCACUAUCCCACCCAUAUACAGCUAAAGAUGUAGUACAGAAGUACUUGAAUCAUAUUUAUAAACUUCAUGGCAUGCCUAAUUCAAUUAUAUUAGACAGAGACAAAAUUUUUGUCAGUGGAUUUUGGCAAGAACUAUUUCGAAGAGCUAGUACCAGACUCCUAUUGUCCACAGCAUACCAUCCUCAAACAGAUGGUCAAAUGGAGGUACUAAAUCAGUGUCUUGAGAAUUAUCUGAGAUGCAUGACCGGAGAGACACCUGCAAAUUGGUUCAAUUGGUUACCCCUUGCAGAGUGGUGGUAUAACUCCUUUUUUCAUUCCUCCAUUCAGCUCACCCCAUAUAAAGCUUUGUAUGGGCAACCACCACCUCAACACAUGCCUUACUUAGCAUCCACAGAUGACAGGAGCCUACAGGCUCGAGAGGUCGCUAGGAAGCUGUUUCAAUUUCAUCUCAAAAGAGCUCAGUCUCUUAUGAAGCAGUUAGCUAACAAACAUCGAUCUGAGAGGAGUUUCCAUGUUGGUGAUUUGGUAUACUUGCGACUACAACCUUAUAGGGAACAGACAAUUAGGAAGGUUUUUCAUAAAAACUUAUCUUUUAAGUACUAUGGACCCUUCUCUAUGAUUAAGAAAGUGUGGGAAGUGGCGUAUACUCUUCAAUUACCCCCAAGCUCCCAUAUUCAUCCAACAUUUCACGUCUCUCAGUCAGCUCCUACUCAAGCUCAACUACCCUUGGUUGAUGCUCAUGGAGCAUUGUAGAAA
rnacentral:lncRNA from 1 species